CCUACGGGUGGCAGCAGUGAGGAAUAUUGGUCAAUGGGCUUACGCCUGAACCAGCCAAGUCGCGUGAGGGAAGACUGCCCUAUGGGUUGUAAACCUCUUUUGUCAGGGAGCAAUUGGCGCUACGUGUAGCGUUAUCGAGAGUACCUGCAGAAAAAGCAUCGGCUAACUCCGUGCCAGCAGCCGCGGUAAUACGGAGGAUUCGAGCGUUAUCCGGAUUUAUUGGGUUUAAAGGGUGCGUAGGCGGGAUGCCAAGUCAGCGGUCAAAUGGGCGGGGUUAACCCCGGGCCGGCCGUUGAAACUGGCGUUCUUGAGUGCGCAUGAAGCAGGCGGAAUGAGUGGUGUAGCGGUGAAAUGCAGAGAUAUCACGCAGAACUCCGAUUGCGAAGGCAG
rnacentral:rRNA from 1 species